CAGUAGCCGCGGUAAUACGAAGGGUGCAAGCGUUAAUCGGAAUUACUGGGCGUAAAGCGCACGUAGGCGGCUUUGUAAGUUAGAGGUGAAAGCCUGAAGCUCAACUCCAGAAUUGCCUUUAAGACUGCAUCGCUUGAAUCGCGGAGAGGUGAGUGGAAUUCCGAGUGUAGAGGUGAAAUUCGUAGAUAUUCGGAAGGACACCAGUGGCGAAGGCGGCUCACCGGACGCGUAUUGACGCUGAGGUGCGAAAGCGUGGGGAGCAAACAGGAUUAGAUACCCCGGUAGUCCCUGUCUCUUAUAC
rnacentral:rRNA from 1 species